GAAAGAUUAAUUAAAAAAUAAUACUAGAAUGUCAAUCUAGAAUUGCCUAAAGGCAUCUUUCC
rnacentral:tRNA from 1 species